rnacentral:rRNA from 1 species
UACGAAGGGGGCUAGCGUUGUUCGGAAUUACUGGGCGUAAAGCGUGCGCAGGCGGUUGUGUAAGACAGAUGUGAAAUCCCCGGGCUCAACCUGGGAACUGCAUUUGUGACUGCACGGCUCGAGUGCGGCAGAGGGGGAUGGAAUUCCGCGUGUAGCAGUGAAAUGCGUAGAUAUGCGGAGGAACACCGAUGGCGAAGGCAAUCCCCUGGGCCUGCACUGACGCUCAUGCACGAAAGCGUGGGGAGCAAACAGG